rnacentral:rRNA from 1 species
GAUGAACGCUGGCGGCGUGCCUAAUACAUGCAAGUCGAGCGAAUGGAUUAAGAGCUUGCUCUUAUGAAGUUAGCGGCGGACGGGUGAGUAACACGUGGGUAACCUGCCCAUAAGACUGGGAUAACUCCGGGAAACCGGGGCUAAUACCGGAUAACAUUUUGAACCGCAUGGUUCGAAAUUGAAAGGCGGCUUCGGCUGUCACUUAUGGAUGGACCCGCGUCGCAUUAGCUAGUUGGUGAGGUAACGGCUCACCAAGGCAACGAUGCGUAGCCGAACUGAAAGGGUGAUCGGCCACACUGGGACUGAGACACGGCCCAAACUCCUACGGGAGGCAGCAGUAGGGAAUCUUCCGCAAUGGACGAAAGUCUGGCGGAGCAACGCCGCGUGAGUGAUGAAGGCUUUCGGGUCGUAAAACUCUGUUGUUAGGGAAGAACAAGUGCUAGUUGAAUAAGCUGGCACCUUGACGGUACCUAACCAGAAAGCCACGGCUAACUACGUGCCAGCAGCCGCCGUAA